UACGGGGGGGCAAGCGUUGUUCGGAAUUACUGGGCGUAAAGGGCUCGUAGGCGGCCAACUAAGUCAGACGUGAAAUCCCUCGGCUUAACCGGGGAACUGCGUCUGAUACUGGAUGGCUUGAGUGUGGGAGAGGAAUGCGGAAUUCCAGGUGUAGCGGUGAAAUGCGUAGAUAUCUGGAGGAACACCGGUGGCGAAGGCGGCAUUCUGGACCAUUACUGACGCUGAGGAGCGAAAGCCAGGGGAGCCAACGGGGAU
rnacentral:rRNA from 1 species